CCCUGCAAGCCAACAUAAUCGUACAUUUAAAUACAACAAAAGUUAUCAUCUGUUAAAGGGACCAGAAGAAAGAAGGAGAAAAGAGCACAUGAACUACAAAUGUAAGUUUACCUGCGGUCACAAAGGACAAGGUCACCCCCAUCAAAGCAUAUGAAACAAACAUCUUCCUCUUUUUUCUUUCCUGUCUUUGUAUUUCUCACUCGCUUCCUCUUUCCUCCAACACCCUUAUUUUCUUCCUCGACGUCCUCUGCAUCUUCAUCCCCCGUCUCAGCCGUUACACUCUCAUCCUGUGUCGCUGUUAGUUCUGUCAUUUCUAUCUCUUCCUGACUUUCCUUCCCCUCCUCUAUAUCAGCUAAUGAGGAGUCUACAUGCGUUUCCGCAUCAGUCAUGUUUUCAUCUUUCUCCUCAUCCUCAUCUUCGGUCCUUGCCUCUGUUUCUUCUGACAUUUCAGAAGCUUUUGUUCCGUCUACUUUACCCUCAACAGUCUCCUCUUGUGUCUCUGUCAUUUCUGCCAUUCCCAUCUCCUCCUGUCUUUUCUUCUCCUCCUCAGUAUCAGCUACCGAUGAGUCUCCAAGAGUUUUCACAUCCAUCAUGUUUUCAUCUUUCUCCUGAUCCACAUCUACGGACCUUGUCUCUGUUUCUUCUGAUGCUUCAGCAACUUUUGUUCUGACUGCUUUACCCUCAACAGUCUCCUCAUGUGUCUCUGUCAUUUCUGCUAAUCCCAUCUCUUCCUGAAUUUCCUUCCCCUCCUCAAUAUCAGCCACCAAGGAGUUUGCAUGCUUAUAAUGCAUCAACCAAGUUGAAAGCUCAUAAACACGUGCAUAAUGCAAUAGAGCAAUUCUCCAGGAGAAAACAGAAUCAGUAAGUAUCAUUAAGCUUUCUAUGCUAAGUCCACAAAAUGUUUGAUGAGAGAAACGGUAAAAGCAAGCUCAUGCGGUACUUCACCAUGAUGAUCAGUUCUAUCAACAGAAAAUCACAAGAAGAAAAAAAUCAACAAGAAAGAAAAACUAAAAGUGUAAUCAAGCAUACCGGCUCCUUCUUUUCCUGCUCCUCUCUUUCUAGCAACUUGAUUGUCUCCAUGCACGUUUCACACAAACCCUUAUUGCCUCUUAUGCAAAAAAAGACAGCAUCCUUGGCGCAGCCCUUGCAUAAUGAAAACACACAUGUGUAACACAAGUAUGUCGCAGUUUUCUCACAUUUGCUACACUGGUGCCAUCCUAUUCAUGAAAAUGUAACAUUGUGUUAGGUUCUAGUAUAGACAUAGAAAUGGACCUUCAAAGAUUAAGCUUACUAAAUACAUACAUAUACAGAGAGGGGUAACAAACGAAAGUAUGACAAAUGACCACUCAAACAUUAUACUAUCUUGAAAGUGUAUGUGAUGUGUUCUAAUAUAUGAGGGAGCAUACUAAGAUACGGCACAGUGUUCUUUAGGCUCUUACAUCACAUUAGUGUCUGUUAUUUAUUAUCAUAUGUACCAAAAGUGAUUGUGAACCCAUUGCUAAAGACACGAAUCAUCAACAAAUCGGUACAAAGGGAAAAUAGCUUAGAGAGAACCAUUAGUCGAUGCCUAACAGAAAUGAAAAAUCAAUAUCUUUCUAGUUAUAUCAAAAGGUUCUCCUAACAAGUUUAAAUGGAUAGAAUUAUAGUGACGAUGUCACCACUACCAAAGUAUAUAAAAGCAUCAAUGCUAGUGUAUUUUCAAAAAAUAAUUACUUAAUAAACGACACAAGAGAUCCCACUGCUGCUACCGUUGACAACAGAGAAUCAACUAAAAGCCACCGUUGACAAGUUCUUGGGGAAUUUCAAAGACUACACAGCCUUGAUAGCAAUCAGACAUCCAUUUCACAAACAAAUUGCAUUUGCCUGUGAAGCAUUUGACAGUGGUACAAAAGGCUUGAGACUAAAGAGAGAUUCAAUAAGGAAAGACAUGAAAUGAAAUACGAUGUGCAAAGCAAAAGCAAUAGAAAAUAACUUUCAACUAAAAUUUCAACCUUAGAAUCUGAGAGGAGUAAAGGAAAAAAAGAUUUAGGAUAAAUGCAUACUAUUAGCCAGGAACUCAAACGAAAGAAGAAAGAAAAAUCUUGAAUUACCAAGAAAUUGCAAUAAAAAUCAUAAUCAGAAUGACAGAUAAAAAACAUAUACCAUUAUGAUUUCUAAAAAAGUAACAAUGUUAAAGACACUGUAUAUAACUAAGGUAAACAAUAUACAUACACCACUCAGAGAAAUUUUAGCAGAUUAUGUGUCAUGUUUUCCUGGACUAUAUUCACUGAUUAAAUAACAGAGAAAAACUUACCACAGUUCCAUUUACCCUUUGACCGGAAAAAAUCCUCGUCUUGAUUUACACAGGAAGGGUGGUAAGCUUUUGGGCAGCCCCUGCAAGCCAACAUAAUCGUACAUUUAAAUACAACAAAAGUUAUCAUCUGUUAAAGGGACCAGAAGAAAGAAGGAGAAAAGAGCACAUGAACUACAAAUGUAAGUUUACCUGCGGUCACAAAGGACAAGGUCACCCCCAUCAAAGCAUAUGAAACAAACAUCUUCCUCUUUUUUCUUUCCCGUCUUUGUAUUUCGCACCCGCUUCCUCUUUCCUCCAACACCCUUAUUUUCUUCCUCGACGUCCUCUG
rnacentral:lncRNA from 1 species